rnacentral:rRNA from 1 species
UAGGGAAUAUUAGAAAUGGACGAAAGUCUGAUCUAGCAACACCGCGUGUGCGAAGAAGGCCUUCGGGUUGUAAAGCACUUUUUGGAAGGAUUAGGAAGGAAUGUACUUCCAGAAUAAGUCUCGGCUAACUACGUGCCAGCAGCCGCGGUAACACGUAGGAGGCAAACGUUAUCCGGAUUUACUGGGCGUAAAGCGCGUGUAGGUGGUUCUGUAAGUAGGGCGUGAAAGCUCCUGGCUCAACUGGGAGAGGCCGUUCUAAACUGCAGAGCUAGAGGAUGGUAGAGGGAGGUGGAAUUCCGGGUGUAGCGGUUGAAUGCGCAGAUAUCCGGAGGAACACCAGUGGCGAAAGCGGCCUCCUGGACCAUUCCUGACACUCAGACACGAAAGCUAAGGUAGCAAACG